CUGGCCUGGAAGCGAAGAGCGAAUUUUGAAUUGAUGCUGGGGCGCCUGCCUCUGCUCGAAUUAACCUUUACUCCAAUUGUUGUGUCCGUUCUAAGAUUAGGGUGGUUACGUCGGCAGUGGGCCCUGCAUGGAGUUCCCGCUGAGCCAAUUCCCUCCUAGGGGCAGGCGGGUUGCCCUCAGUUCUUGCUCUGGUCACAGAGCGGUUGGUGUGCGGUUGUGAUUCCACUUCCUGUUCUAUCAUCAAUCGUGGUGGGGGUGGAGGACCCAUUCCCAACAGCUCGAAUGGGUUCAACAGGACUUGCAUUUGGAUGAUUGGUGCAUGUACCAAUCUUUCACUGCUGGGUCGACUUCGCUGGGUCGGCUUCGCUGGGUACUCUGCAAUUGCUCGCUCUAUACUGGGUUAGCGUUUGUUUUCAGCGCCCUCUUUAGCUCGUCGAACCUAGACAUCAACGUGGCCACUUGUUUCUGGGCCUCAACCUUUUCCUUGCACUCUUGUUCACGCUCCCUGUUUUCCUUGUGGAGAUCCGCCAAUGCCAUCUCAUACAUAGCGGCGAGGUCCUGGCCAGGAAGGCUGCGACUACUGCCUGAGUGGGCCACCGCUACAGUUUCGGUUCGUGGGAUUUGGGGUUCCACUCUGGGAUUGACUGGAGUGUUGAAUAGUGUGCGGUUAAUGUUAGCCGUUGGGUUAGUGGGUUGGCGGAUUGGUCCGCCUGCUCUUUGGUGUUUCCCUCGCUACCGUUAGUCAUGGGGAUUGCUGUAGUGGGAUGGCCUUUUGCUCAAGGAUUCCCACAGACGGCGCCAAUGUUAAUGUCUAAGAUUUAGUGGUAGCUAAAUCUUGGGUAACGCUUGUUCGAGGGGCGAACUACUACUUGCGAUAUUCUUGUUGCUCUCGCUAUCUGUCAAAUGAAAUACCAAGGGUGUCAAAGGGAGACAGCAGUUGGCGGUCUUCUCUUCUCUGAUGCCUAAGUUAGUCAAUUUAUUUAUGUUGACAGAAUAACGUUAGGUAAGUAGUAAAUACGUAAUUAAUGAGGAGAGAGGAGUUGACCUUUUAUAGGUGGGGAAGAGGCUGACCUCUUCCUUGUUUUCGAUGUGGGACUGAUAUGCUUCAGUUCCCAGCUUAUGAUGCUUCAGCUAGGUGAUCUUGGCACGGAGCGUGGAGGCGCGUCAUUGGUGAUCUGGGGGUGAGCCGGGGUUCAGGUGAUAGCCUGUUUGGCUAUGUUUCCGUAGGUCACACCUUUAAUGGUUGUUGGUACCACUGGCGAUAGUAUGAGUCUGGCUUAUUAUAGCUAAUUAUGCUUGGCAAAUGCUCAUGUAAGUACAUGGCGGGUUGACCCACGACUAACCCGCUUUUUAAUCGUGCAUGUUCAACCCGCUUUAUUUCAUGCGGAUUUCGAGUUGUGUUAUUGGAUCGUGUUAGAAUUGGCAGCCCUACUUGUAGGCACUGUUCUAAAAAUCUGCCGCUCAGGGCGCCUAGGCGCUGGGUGGUGGGUCUCCGCCGCGAUUAAUGUCAAAUUGGUGGAGCUGGGUGGUUAGGGUUUCGUCGGCCGCCUAGGUGGCCUAAACGGGCAACUGGGCACCUGGGCGUUUGGGCGGAUUGGCCUGGGCGGUUUUGCCAUCAGAUUUGGUUUUGAUUUGGAUUCUUUUUGGCAACAACGAAGGUCCGAUCCUUAACUGCGAUAGAACUUUCUUGUGUUUCUGAGUUUUGGUGAGGUGGGUCGAUCUGAUUUUGGGGUGUGAAUUGGUGAGAUUAAUCGGUUUUGCUGAUUGGAUUCAGUGGAACAAAAAGUUAUCUGGGUUGGAUCUGAAAUAGUAUACCUGACCUGAUUGACCUGAGUCUCUCUAUUUCUCUCUUCUCCUCAGAGUCCUUGUGUCGUAGAUGGAUACUCCCUCUUCUUCGAUAAGGUAGGCAGUUACAGAAUAUGUUGAUAACUUGAUACCAAUCAUAUAUGUUAGGUGUUUUUUAAAUAAUGAUGGACUUGGCAUUAAGAUCCAUGAAAUUUCAACUAAAAUUGGUUUCUUGCAGUUCAUGUCUAGGGAGGAAUCUGGGAAAUGGUUUGGAGAGAAGGUCCUUGUAUUAGCACUACUACAAAAAGUGCAUCACACAACACCCAUCAGACAAGAGAAUAAAAGUUUACCGUCGUCUGAUAACGUGAAGUUCAUUGUACAACGCUAUUAAUUAAGUUCUGUUGUGGGAAUGCUACGAAAUUUAGAACUUUUUCUUCAGAGUUCUAUCACACAACACAAUUAAGAUAGUUCUGUUGUAUAAAUGACACAAAACUUUGUGGCAGAUAUCCCGCCAUCAUUGAGCUCAAAAUUCCCUCCGAAGGCAAGUUCACCAAUUUUAUCACACAACAGAAUUAUGUAUGUUCUGUUGUGAGAAUGUUGCAAGCUACAACAGUCUAGUUACUUCCGUUGUAUGACAAUUUGACAAUUUCUAUUAGGUGUACCUAGUGCAAGAUGCAAAAUCUUGUACAACAGGUAUUGUCAUUCGGUUUUCUGAAUGAGGAACAUAGGCGGCAACAAUGUUUUCAUUUUGGCUCAAAUCGAUUUGAAUUCCUCCCAUCAAACCUAAGCAGGCGGUAAACUUCCCUCCCUCCUCUGGCACAUAUCUUUUGAUAUAUACUUUCCUACAACAGUUUUUUAAUUAUCUGUUGUGGGAGACAUGCCACUAAGUGACCAAACCAUACAUCCGAAAGAAAAAAAAGAAGAGAGACCUAAGCUAUUCUCAGUCCCAGACUCCCAACUCCUUUGUUUCUCCCCCGAAAUCCAAGUUGUCUUCAUCACUGUCCUUUGUUGCUUCUGUUCUUUCUCCCCUGAAAUCCAAAUCCACUUCGGCGACGGAGGAGAUAAAGUGCCCCAGAUCUACUUUCUCUCUCCUUCUCGUCUUCAAACUAGAGUUAAUUGAAGAGAUGCAGAAGACGAAGGUGCGCGAGACAGUGAAGGUGAACGUAUUAUGCUGCGUCGAAGAGGCGGCGCUGUGCUGGGCUGCAUCGCCAUCGCCUUCACUGACAAGCUCUCUCUCUUCUCUCUCUUCUCUCGCUGUGCUGUGAUUCGCCCAAAUGGCCUCCUUUAUCUCCCUCAUCAUCCGCUGCGAACCGGGGCGACUCCUCACCUGAGGACGUUGCCGUUUUGUCCUCCACUAGGGCUUUUGCGCAGGAUGCCUAGCCAAGCAAAGGGCCAAAGAUAUAUAGGAACUUUUUUGGGAGCUUUAUGACUUGGAGAGUACAUUUCAGGGAAUUCGCACUAUAGCAAUGGUGGCCUGGAAAGAGAGUCCAACAAUCCAUACCAUCGGCAAGCAGUAACUGACAUAAAUUCGAACAAAAAUGUGAAUGAGAAACAAAGACUCUCAACAGAGUCAUCACGGGCCUCUUUCUCGUCGACUUGUUCAUCUUCCUUAUCAUCACUGGAGUGUAACAGAACAGCACAACCAGGAACCUCUUCCUUUGACAGAAUCAUUUUUCCUGAAACUCCGCCAAGGGAUCCAGUAACUAACCACUCAAGUACCUCCCCUAGAUUUGGAAGGCAGUCCCUUGAUCUCCGGGAUGUGGUAAAGGACUCUAUGCAUAGGGAAGCAAAAAGUAUCUUCGUUGUUACUGAUUUAAUAUGCUUAUUAAGGGAUGCAUGAGACAUGGCUGCUGAGAUAUGCCUUUCUUAGCUUCCAUUGUUGGUUGAGGAUGCUAAUGCUGACUUUCAGCCAAGUCCAUUUUUCACUGAGCAGUUGAUUGCUUUUGAGGUAUGGCCUGACCACGGGUCUGAACACAAGAAAUCACCAGAGCAGUUGCCUAUUGUUCUUCAGGUCCGAUGCUCUACUUUUUCAUUCAAACUAGUUUGGGUUGACUAAAAGCUUUUGGGAUUAACAUUUAAAAACACUGUAAUUAGUCAUGUUAUUAGUUUUGAGGUUCGGUUGUUAUAGUGGGUUGACUAGAAUCAUAAAAUGUUACUAUACCAGUUGCCUAGUUGGUAUUUGGCUUAAGCUACUGGUAGGGAAGGAAGGGAAUUUGGCUUAAGCUACUGGUAGAACGAGCUGAGCUUGUUCCAGUUGCUGUUGAGGUAACUUCUCUAUGUAUACUUCAGGCUAUGAAACUAUUCUUUCUUGAGAUGACAAUCAGUAGAUGCAUUCGUUGGGUUUUACUAAUUAAACUAGAUCUGAAUUGAGUGUUUUUAUUUUCAAUUUUGUUAAAUACGAUGCCAAGUUGCAAGAGUGUAGAGGGGUUAAGUGGAAUGAUUCUUUGUUUGUUGUCAGUGCUCUCUCUUUAUUUCUUGCCUGUCGAAGUAUGAUAUAUUUGGAAGAAUAGGAUGCUUGGAGGUUGCAGGGAGAGACAGCGGUAGCAGCUAUGGGUUGCAGGGAGAGACAGUGAUGGUGCAGCUGCAUUAGUGCUAGCGAGUGGGAAGAAGGCAUUUGAAUGCAAUAGUGUCAGCAUGUGUAUUUUUUGGAAUAAUGAUAUUGUAUCAGCUUUUGCUAUCUUUCAUUGUAAUUAGCUAGGAUGCAGCAGCCAUCAAGCUAGCUAGAAUGUCUUCUUUUUGGUUUUAUGGUAUGGAUGGAUACAUGAAUGCUACCUUUUUUGGUACAUUGGAUGGUUGAAUUAGAGUAUUUCAAUGCCUAAAUCUUAUA